rnacentral:rRNA from 1 species
GUAAAGCACUGUUUGGCCUAGGGGCCCUACCAGGUUACCGAAGUCAGAUAAACUCUGAAUGCCAUGACUUUAGAGCAGGGGAGUCAGACUGCGGGGGAUAAGCUUCGUAGUCGAGAGGGAAACAGCCCAGACCACCAGCUAAGGGCCCCAAGCGCUGGCUAAGUGGAAAACGUUGUGCGAGUGCAUAGACAACCAGGAUGUUGGCUUAGAGGCAGCCAUUCGUCUAAGGAGUGCGUAAUAGCUCACUGGUCAAGUGCUCGUGCGCGGAUAAUGUAACGGGGCUCAAGCCAGCCCCCGAAGCUGUGGGCUUCGUCUUUGACGGAGCGGUAGGAGAGCGUUCCUCGUGCAGUGAAGCGGAUAGCGGCAAGCUUCCGUGGAGCGCGGGGAAGUGAGAAUGCAGGCAUAAGUAACGAAAGAGGAGUGAGAAACUCCUCCACCGGAUGCCCAAGGUUUCCUGAGUAAAGUUAAUCUGCUCAGGGUUAGUCGGGACCUAAGCCGAGGCCGACAGGCGUAGGCGAUGGAUAACAGGUUGAUAUUCCUGUACUGCGUCUUCCGCGCUAUUACCGAUGGGGGGACGGGGAAGGGUAGGCGAACCGUGGCGCUGGUAGUCCACGGACAACCCGGUAGGAGGAACCCUAGGAAAAUCCGGGGUUCAUAUACUCCGAGAGGGGAUGUCGGUCAGCGUAAGCUGGCAAGUCGUCGAGCCCAUGCCUCCGAGAAAAGCCUCUAGGGAGUGGGAACGCACCCGUACCAAAACCGACACAGGUGGGCAGGUAGAGCAUACCGAGGUGAUCGAGAGAACCUUCGUUAAGGAACUCGGCAAAAUUGUCCCGUAACUUCGGGAGAAGGGACGCCCCGGUAGAGUGAUCGGCCUUGCGCCAGGAGCUCGAGGGGGCCGCAGAGAAUUGGCCCAACCGACUGUUUACCAAAAACACAGGUCUCUGCGAAGUCGUAAGACGACGUAUAGGGGCUGACGCCUGCCCGGUGCCGGAAGGUCAAGUGGAGAGGUUAGCCCUUGAGGCGAAGCUUUGAAACCAAGCCCCGGUAAACGGCGGCCGUAACUAUAACGGUCCUAAGGUAGCGAAAUUCCUUGUCGGGUAAGUUCCGACCUGCACGAAUGGCGUAACGAGUUGGGCGCUGUCUCAACGAAGGACUCGGUGAAAUUGUAGUAUCGGUGAAGAUGCCGAUUACUCGCCACAAGACGGAAAGACCCCGUGAACCUUUACUGCAGCUUGAUAUUGGUGUGUGGGACAUCCUGUCCAGGAUAGGUGGGAGGCUGUGAGACGGUGACGUCAGUUGCCGUGGAUCCAACCUUGGGAUACCACCCUGGGUGUUCUUAGCUUCUAACGGGAGCACGGCAUCCGGCCC